ncrna:unclassified sequences Glutamine riboswitch
AUCGUUCAUCUUCGUAAGAAGACGGAAGUAGACGAAAGUUGAAGGAACGCGCC